rnacentral:rRNA from 1 species
GUGCAGCAGUCGAGAAAACUUCACACUGUGCGAAAGCACGAUGAGGGAAUCCCAAGUGCUUGCACGUAAGUGUAAGCUGUUUCUCUGUUUAAAACGCAGAGAGAGUAAGGGCUGGGUAAGACGGGUGCCAGCCGCCGCGGUAAUACCUGCAGCCCAAGUGGUGACCGUUAUUAUUGGGCCUAAAACGUCCGUAGCCGGUUUAAUAAAUGCCUGGGUAAAUCGUGUAGCUUAACUAUACGAAUUCCGGGUAGACUGUUAAACUCGAGACCGGGAGAAGUUAGAGGUACUCCUGGGGUAGAGGUGAAAUUCUGUAAUCCUAGGGGGACCACCAGUGGCGAAGGCGUCUAACUAGAACGGGUCUGACGGUGAGGGACGAAGCCCUGGGGCGCAAACGGGAUUAGAUACCCGCGUAGU